UUGGAGGGCAAGUCUGGUGCCAGCAGCCGCGGUAAUUCCAGCUCCAAUAGCGUAUAUUAAAGUUGUUGCAGUUAAAAAGCUCGUAGUUGAAUUUCGGGGUUCUACCGUUGGUCGGGCUUUGUCUGUACUGGUGUGUAGAAUUUCUACCUUCUGGGGAACCAUCAUGCUAUUAAUUUAGCGUGGUGGGAAACCAGGACCUUUACCUUGAAAAAAUUAGUGUGUUCAAAGCAGGCUUAUGUCUGAAUACAUUAGCGUGGAAUAAUAGAAUAGGACGGUGGUCCUGUUUUGUUGGUUUCUGAAUCACCGUAAUGAUUAAUAGGGAUAGUUGGGGGCAUUAGUAUUCGAUUGUCAGAGGUGAAAUUCUUGGAUUUAUUGAAGACUAACUUCUGCGAAAGCAUUUGCCAAGGAUGUUUUCAUUAAUCAAGAACGAAAGUUAGGGGAUCGAAGACGAUCAGAUACCGUCGUAGUCUUAACCAUAAACUAUGCCGACUAGGGAUCGGACGAUGUUAAUUUUUCUUGACUCGUUCGGCGCCUUACGGGAAAC
rnacentral:rRNA from 1 species